UAUAAAUACAAGGACUCCCAGUUUUAUCAGACGUUCAAUUGACACCGAUACAACAACGCAAUGACUCUUGCACGACUGUGGCCCGGCCGGCGAGCAAUCGAGGCAAAGAAAGCAGGGUGCAGUGGAGGAUGCAGCCAUCCCGUCAAGUCUCCUCCCGAUUCUUUUGGACACGCCUUUGAUUUGUUACAGGGGUGGUGCUGACCGAGCUGAUGAGAUACUUUUAAUUGUGGUACCAACACGAGACCAAUGGCGAUAUUGCUGACAGAGUCAGCCGUGUUAGGUUCUGCCCAGAAUUGCUCCGAUAUAUACUGCCUUGUUGGUGAGAGUGUCGAUUGAUCAUUAAUACUAAAGGAACAAUGACAAUCACUCCAAAACCGGACUCAGCUGACAGCACCAGUGACGCUCAACCCAGGUGCAAGUAUGUCGUAUGACAGCUACAGGUUUGCAGACAUGGGUGGUUAUAUAGAGAUGGGCUCAAAGACCUGUACACAACUCAAGACAUCCGUACGAUACCACAAUAUCGCACCACAACCACGGGUCUACUACAAUACAUGACCACAAUGGCCAACUCGGAGCAAUGCAAGUACUGUCGCAAGUUUGUGUACAAAGCUCUGUGGGAGACACAUGUUCAAGAGUGCAAGAUUGGAAUUGGGAUAGCUGCUCACACGGGGGAGUCUGCUGGUACAAGUCCCAAGACUAAGCGGUGAUGACAUGUAAUGAAUUAUGACGGUAGGGUAUUGA
rnacentral:misc_RNA from 1 species